rnacentral:rRNA from 1 species
UAAAACUAAAUCAAAGGAACUUGUUUUUUAAUCGACAAUACUCGAUAAAUUUUACUCUCUUUAAAAGCUUAUAUACCGCCGUUUAAACCUUUUUGUAAGAACUUUUUACAACCUUAUUUAAAACUUCAGGUCAAGGUGUAGCCCAUAUGAUAGAUAAAAUAAGUUACUAUAAACCCUAUUUAUGGAAAUAAAAAAAAUUUAAAUAAAACAGGAUUUAAAUUCAAUAGUUUAAUAAUAAAAAAUUAUGAAGUUCACUUGAAC